AUAACACCGGAGAAGACAGCGAAAUGUACAUUAGCCGGUGAAUGAUAAAGGGUUUCCGGAUCUGAUAGAAAGGGAGCUGGGCUGGGCUUGCAGAUUAGAAGGGCUCUCAGACACCCAAGUGGGAUUGCCUCUGCGAACAUAGGCAUGGAAACCUCCCCCCUGGCGACACUCCAGAAUUCCAGGGACAAAGACGUUCCCAACGACGAGAACAGGUUAUGUCCAAAGAAGAGAGAGCUAGCCUAACGUGGAUUCUUUAGUUGCCAGCCCCCGGAGGCUGGGAGACAGGAAGGCAGGAGAAAGAGGCUCCCGAGGGCUGUGGGGGUGUAUUCGCAAGUCCAUAAAUACCCCCAGCGAGAGGUGAGGUCAACAGGAUAUGUGAGGACCGCUGUGGAGAGAAGCGCCAGGAGCCGACCGUCCUCUCCUAGAACCGGAGGCAGUCAAGAUCUGUGGCUGGAGAGAAAUUGGUGACCUUCCCUUGACUACCUAGAAGAACCUACAUCAGUUCUUUCCCAGAAUAAGAGGAACUGCCAGAGAUCAAUUUUACCGGCGUGACCCGUCUGUGUGGCAGGACAAUCGUCUAGCGACGAGACCACUGCUUUUAUCACUGUCCUCCUUCCCUGUGAAGCCCAGGCUCCCAUCCCAUUCCUCAGCUCAGAAUGGCAUAAGCACUCUUUACUUUUCUCUCUGCGAACCUCUCCUGUAUGUGGGGUUCCCGUACGUGUGAAAUUAAAUUCGGUUUUCCCCCAUU